rnacentral:rRNA from 1 species
GACAGAGGAUGCAAGCGUUAUCCGGAAUGAUUGGGCGUAAAGCGUCUGUAGGUGGCUUUUCAAGUCCGCCGUCAAAUCCCAGGGCUCAACCCUGGACAGGCGGUGGAAACUGCCAAGCUGGAGUACGGUAGGGGCAGAGGGAAUUUCCGGUGGAGCGGUGAAAUGCGUAGAUAUCGAGAGGAACACCUGCGGCGAAGGCGGGUUGCUGGGCUGAUACUGACGCUGAGGCGCGAAAGCUAGGGGAGCGAACGGG